rnacentral:misc_RNA from 1 species
AGAAUACUUGGGGUGUGAUCUACAAUCGAUACCGAAGUCAAAAAUAUAGUUUUUAGAAUUUUCGUCUGUUUGUCUGUAUGUAUGUGCGGGAUAAACUCAAAAAUUACCGCAUGGAUUUACUUCAAAUUUGACAAGACAAUUUUAAAGCAGCGCCAUCUAUGAGAUUUUUCUGUAGAUAUGAAAUGUAAAGAAGAAACGGGUAAAUGAAUGUUAUUUUAAAAGGUAUAAUCGUAGGUAUUUUUGGUGCUGUAUAGCGUUCACGCAGACGACGUCGCGGGCAGCAGCUAGUAA